CCGAGUAUCUAGAAUAAGAUCAAUCCUGAAUUCUAUCUCUCAAUCGGGAGGUAACCCUGGGAGAUCUUCUGGAAAAACAUCUGCAAACUUAUUGAUAAUAUCGAUUGACUGAACAGUUGGAGUGUCGGACUUAGUAUCUUUGACUCUAACUUGGUAAUAGAUUCAACCCUUGGAUAUUAGCUUUCUGGCUUUGAGAUAGGAGAUAAAAUGACUCUUGGG
rnacentral:lncRNA from 1 species